rnacentral:rRNA from 1 species
GGGAAACUUACCAGGUCCGGACUUAGUAAGGAUGUACAGAUUGAUAGCUCUUUACAGAUUCUAAGGGUGGUGGUGCAUGGCCGUUCUUAGUUGGUGGAGUGAUUUGUCUGCUUAAUUGCGUUAACGAACGAGACCUUAACCUGCUAAAUAGGAUCACCUAUCUCCGGAUAAGUGACUUUCUUCUUAGAGGGACUUUAUGCGUUUCAGCAUGAGGAAGUUUGAGGCUAAAA